ACGGCGCCUGGUGGGUGCAGGACGCCGCGGCCGCGAUCCCGGCGCGCGCGCUGGGCGACGUCUCCGGCCUGCGGGUACUGGACCUGUGCGCCGCGCC
rnacentral:tRNA from 1 species